GGGUUUCUAAAAUCGGUCAUUACCUCAUUGACGCAUGUGAAAAAAAUACUGAUCUUAGAAAAAACUACAAGAAUGUUCAACAUGUUGUCGAAUUCACAAAUCUUAUACAUAAUAAUGUGAUGGUUUAUCUGUGUGUAUUUCUUGCAACGGGAUAUUUAUUAGUCGAAUUUGAAAAGUGCGAUGAUCAUUCAAAACGACAUGCGUGUGGGUUUAUAUUUCCAACCUAUCUUUAUAUAAACAUACACAAUCGGCCAUAUCGUGACUUAUAUAAUUUAGCUUCCGUGUUCUUAUUAGCUUAUGUGUUUGUAACAAUUGUCCUAAGCCUUCAAAUAUUGUAUUUUGCCAUAUUGUAUCUUGAGCUGCUCAACAAAGACGUACAGCAAUCGUUAAAAAUAUCCACGUUUAUUCAGCUUAGAGCAUUGAGAUUGCAAAAGCUUAAGGAAAUACAUCAACAACAAAUAGUUUCCAAUAAAUUAUGGAAGAUUUUAAUGGAAAUAUAUAGGUGGCCCUUAUUACUUCAAUAUGUAACAUCAGUCGUUAAUAUACCCCUAAUACUUAUAUCUUCGUUAAAUGUACGGGAAUACAUUAUAAAAAAAUUGCGAUUCGUAAUCAAACAAUUUUCAGGAAUUUAAAUUGCUGUCACUUGCACAUGUUAGCAUUUAUAUUGCAGGGACGUUUGCUUGUGGUUUCUUCGCUGAGAAAAUGUACAGUAUUGUAAGUUUAUCUAAUUAAUUGCAAAUCUAGCAAACUAUUGAGUAAUUUUUAUAGACUGAACAUUCUCGGCACAAGUUUUUCUAUGCUUGUCCCUGGGACGGAGAUUUGCAAAAUACCAAAUAUCUGAUAUUAAUGAAUUUAAAUUCAAAUCAUGGUUUCAAAAUUAUGCUUGGACACUUCGGAGAAUAUUCAAACGAAGUCGUUUUAAAGGUAGGUGUAUAAUAUUCGAAAAUAAAUUACAAGUAUGCGAUAAUUUUAGAUAUUCAAAUGGUCAUAUUCAAUUUUGAUGGUGUAUGUUCAGUAUGAGCAAUUGAGCAUAAAGGGUUAAAUAAUUAUAUUAAAUAGUUUGUAUUUGUUCUGUGUAAAAUAUUGCUACGGUUUUUAAUGAAAUUUUAUUUGCACGAAUAUAAGUAUCUGAACAAAAGGUUCAUUCCCCAAAUGAAUACAACUUCCCGCUC